CCGCCAGGGCAGCCACCGCAGCGAAGGAGCCGGGCCUUCCGCAGCUACCUCAGCGCCCGCCGCGCCGCUCGGCUCACGUAAGUGCGGCGACACAGGCGGGAGGGCGGCGGUUGGUUGGCCGCUCUCUGACUUUCCUACCCGGCCCUUUCCCUAUCGUGACGUGCACGGCGACACCGGGAUCCUGCGGGUGACGGAAACCUGCUCCGUUACCCCGAGACCCGCCCCGACCCCUCCUGACCUCGCGCAUCACCGAGCCUGCACCUGUGGGAAGAGCACUUCCCGUCGCUUCCGUCCUCAUCGGUUUGAUCACUGGCACUUGGGCUGUGCUAGAGACUGCUGUGGGUUCUAAAUACUUCACCUCAAGACCGUCGCGACCGUCCUGGGAGGCUCCAACUUUGCUUAUUUAAGCGGAGGAAACUUGGAGGCACAGAGAGAUUAAGUAAUUUUAAGGCCGCACAGCUAAUUAAAAGGAAGCGGUGUUUACUAGCUCCAGAGGGAUUUCACGUGCAAUUCCUUCAUUUUGCUUCUACUUUCAUGAGGCUUCCAAGUACCUAAGAACAACAGGCUACUUCAUCCUGCUGCUCUGUCCUCACUGCUAAAUUCCAAGCUAUUCUUGUCAGUCUGUCCUCCUGGGGAUUCGUGUUUUCUCUGGAACUUUCACUAGUGUUACUACUGCCCUAGAGUUGUGAAUAUAAGUCAGUGACCAUACGGGAAACUCUGAAGCCUUGCUGCUCCUCAUGGUUUCCACAUAGAACCUGCUCCCCUCUUGGAGCUACCAUCUCUGGGGAUGAUGACUCUUCUUGCUCCUCACUUAAGUUGAAGAAACACUGUGCACUGUGAUCUCCUGUCUGUGACAUUGGGCCAACUGAAGACAGGGUUUUGAAAUCUCAGCUAUAAAGAUAUCCAGCCAAAGUCUCAAUCUUGCCUUAACAAUGUUUCAGAGACUGAAUAAAAUGUUUGUAGGUGAAGUCACUACUUCUUCCAGCCAAGAACCAGAAUUUUGCGAGAAAGAAGAUGAUGAGUGGAUUCUUGUUGACUUCAUAGAUACCUGCACUGGUUUCUCAGCAGAGGAAGAAGAGGAAGAUGAAGACAUUGGUCAAGAGUCCUCAGCAGAGCACACUUCUGUCUUCUCCUGUUUACCUGCGUCUUUGGAAUGCUUGGCUGAGACCAGUGAUUCCUGCUUCCUUCAGUUUGAGUCCUGUCCAAUGGAGGAGAGCUGGUUCAUCACUCCUCCCCCGUGUUUUACAGCAGGUGGACUAACCACUAUCAAAGUGGAAACAAGUCCUAUGGAAAACCUUCUCAUUGAACAUCCCAGCAUGUCUGUCUAUGCUGUGCACAACUCUUGUCCUGGUCUCAGUGAGGCCAGCUGUGCGAAUGAUGAAUAUAACUCAAGUGGUCCCAGGGCCAGAAAAAGCUGCCUAUAAGACUCACGGGCACAGAAAUGGAAGCCCAGAGUGAAAUGGGGAAGCAUAUUCACUGCUGUGUUGCAGCACUUGCUGCUCAAGCAACAUUUUUGGAACAACCCAAGAGUUUUCGCCCUUCCCAGUGGAUAAAAGGACACAGUGAAAGACAGUCUCUGAACAGAAAUGGUCUCCGUCGCCAGAACCUUACCAGGGAUUGCCACACUCGACAAAUGAAGCACAGUGGCUGGGUGGUUCACCAGCCCUGCCCACGCCAGUACAAUUACUGAGAACGUUGAGUUAUGUUGGUUGGUUUCCUUAGGUUCUGUGCAUAUGUAUUGGAUGUAUGUGCGUACAAUGAAAGUGUUAUCUCCUUCCAGCCAACUGAAGACCAAUCACCUAGUGUAUCAGUGUGUUUAGACACUAUCACAACCAGAUUUUUUGUGCUGUGUAUCACAUAAUGCCUUGCUCCUGACAAUUACUUUAAAAAAACCUUUUCAGAAUACUUUUGGAAACAUAUCAAUACAGUGACAGUGUUUGGGGUUGUCUUUAAGUACAUUAAGGUAUAUAUGUAUGAGUUAGCAUCUUAAGGACAUUUCUUACCAAGUGUAAGAAUAGGCAUCUUUUCAAUUUCCUUUAUUUUGUAUUAUUUAAUCCUUUGUGUAAGCAAAAAUUAUUCUCAGGGUCAGCCAUAUACUUUAUUGACUAGUACUUGAUAGUCUUUUCUGUAUAUAAUGAGUACAUUUUUACACUAACACGAGCAUUAACAGGUGAUUUUUGCCAUGGAUAUAAUGGAAUUAAUGGCUGAACUUACUUUUGAAAGAAAACUUGACAUAUUUCUGUAUGUAUGGUUCCCCCCCCCCCAGAUUAGUCACUGCAGUUCAUUGUGGAAUUCAGGUACAUUAACUUUGGUAAACAAUAUAUUCAGUAAUUCUGAUGUGACUCCAUGAUAUGGUACAAAUACUACAGAUGUCGUGGACGAAAGCACCUGUUUCAUAUGCAAAGGGAAAAAAUAGACCCAUGAGAUGAUAUUUGGCAUGUUUGUAGCUAACCCACAGAGCAGUCAGUAUUUGGAGAUGUCUAGAGUCUUAACUGUCAGCUCAUCUGAAAAUGCACAAGCGUGUGCCCAGGCACUCAGUGACUUCAUGCUCAUGUUUGCCACAAGAAACGGAGAGACACAGUAAUAACUCCUCAGACAUGGAGCCUGUCCUCCCAAGGGACUUCUGGUGGCAUCUGUUUUUAGCACCUAAGCGAAGACUGAUGGGUUGGUUUCCACAAGCUUUCAUUUUUUAACCACUUUGGCCUCUGUUUCCCCCACAGCAGGGGAGGAAUAAUACUUACCUCUCUCACAGAGUUGUGAGGAUUAUAUGCUGAUUGGAAGUGGGGCUGUCAGAACAGAACUCUGAAUUUCUAGGGUCUUUCUACUGAACCUAGUUGUGAGAGGCCGUGGCAGUUUCCUGCCAUGAUUAUUCUUCAGGGUUGGUGCUAAUGAGGCUAGAGCACAGGGUUCCACUCAUAUGAACCAGUUAAUGUGGUAUAGAGGAAAGUCCAUUCUCUUACCUCUAUCUGAUCAGCUCUUUUUAAGGGUAGUUUUAGUGGAUUUUGAUGAGCCAUCCACACUUGCAACCAACUUUCUGGAAAAUUAAACCCAUGUAUAGCUUGAAGCACAUUAUUCAAACUGCUCAUUUCCCCAGCUCCUCUGCAACCAUAACUAUUUAUGAAAUAAUUUCAAGGAAAAAAAGCAUACUGUUAUGUGAAGUAUUAUCCCUAAAGCAGCUUGAUGCAGGUAACCCUGGGAGACUUUCAGGAAGGAACAGUGCUCUCCUCUGAUGAGUCUGGACAUUUAGAGCUGCAGUUAGUUAGAUGGGGAAGGGUGUUCUUAACACUGGCUGUGAUUAGAUGCCAGGAUGUCUCCUUAGAACAGGAAUCUAGAUUUCUUCUUCCUUAAGCCUUUUCCAUAUUGACUUCCCCUUUUAUUUAUGUUUUCUAAUUAAGGGGCCAAGUCUGUAGAGUUUGUUAAACUGUUACUAUUUGUUUUCAUGAACGUGUGCAUAUUUUAUGCCACAGCUGUUAUAGGGUCAUACGUGGUAACUUGAAAUAGAUCAGCUAAGUGUCUUCUGGACAGAGGUUCUGAAUACAUGUAGCUUUCCCCCCACUCCCUUACAUCACAUGUAAGCUGUGUCUCACAAGCUGGAGCUCAGCCAUCAGAAUUUGUUUGGCCAGCAUGAAUUGGUUUGUGUAUUAAACUACAUUGUUUUUUUUUUUUUGUUUGUUUGGUUGGUUUUUUUAAAAACAACUUUCCCACCACGUUUAUUUAUCCCUUAAGUACACUUACAUCUCUGUCAGUUACUGACUUUUCAUUUGCUUAGUGUAUGCUUAGUGUUUUGUUCCUGAAAACCAGCAAACAAAUCAGCUACUGGGAUUUUUUUCUUUGGGGUUAAGAUUACCACACCACCUAUAUUAAGUAGGUAGCACACUGUUUUUUUGUGUGUGAGAAUCUAAAGCUUAUGUCUAAAAUUGGCACUUGUAAAAGAAAAAGGUUACAUAACUCAAUUGAAGUUCUUAGUGUUUUGUUAGCCAACUACUGUGUGUUAGAUACAAGUCUAAUAACACAGAACAAUGUUAACCUGUUAAAUAUUUUUUUGAAACAUGGCCAAAAAAUACAUUUUAUGAGUUGAUUACUCAUUAUCAUCAUCACCAUCAUUUUGCUGUAUACCUACCAGUGGUUUACAGUGUUCUUCAAUGCACUGAAAGUACAAGCAGUAAGAAGACCCCAAGAGUUGAGGAUGUAGCUUAGUGGUAGAGGAUUUGCCUAGCAUGUGCAAGGUCCCGAGUUUCAUCCCCAGCACUGUAAGACAAAAACAAAACAAAGAAGCAAGACUCCAGAAUUUAGUAGCACUGACCAUCUCUAAACCAAUAGCCUAGAAUAUUGCUUGCAAAAUCUGGAAUACACGGUCUGCAUCAGCUGUACAUCGAGAGUCUAUCUUUUAGCUUUUAUAGUGGACCCCACAUUCCCCAAAGUUUGUUUUAUGUUUAACAUUUUAGAAUGUGUAUUCUGUUAAUUACUAUUUCCUGGGUUACAUUCAGAACUAUAUAUAGGUACUUAGCUUAUCAUAUUUAUCUUUUGUGACAAUUUGUGUUUGUACGGUUGCAUAGGUGGGGAAUUUUUUGCAGAGAUACAAAAAGAUUGGAUUUUACUUCCCAUUGUAGGAAGUUCAAAACAGAACAUUAACUUCCUGUAUAUUUUUCCAAUUCCCACGCCGAUUGUUCUUGUUUCUUCUUUGGUUUUAGCAAAAAGAGUGUUUACUUAAAACUUGUGAGGGCUCAUAUGCCUGGCUGUCUUUUUUGCUUCUCAAAUCUGUACAGGUUUACAGUCUUCACUUUUGUUAAAGUGGAAUUGCUUUCCUAUUUUGCUCUGUCUUCACAGAGGCAUUUAGUCUCUGUAUACUCUUAAAAGAAGAAAAAGCAAGGGAGGGUAUCUUCUUUAUCCUCAUUUUCUUUGAGUUGGAAACAAAAGUAAGUAUGAAGGACUACAACUAGUAGAUAGACAUUUAAAUAGACUAGUGGAAAAAAGUUUUUACCGUUUUCUUUUUGUUCAGUUAAAAGACUGCUCCUUAUACUGGGAGAUACUAGUGUAUGCUUCAAUUGUUGCCUUGAAAUUAUCUUUUUAUUCUUUAAGGCCUAUAGAUUACUAUUGCCUUUAAAUUCUUUAAAGUUAGGUAGUUUCAUGCCAUCAGCCUCUUAUGUAUUAUAAAUGGCAACCCUACGUUCUUAUUCUGUUAAAAUUGUAUAUGAAUGCCUAUUUUACAAACUUAACAUAUAUGACAGUGUUGUCUACUUUGUCAUAGGCCAGUUUCUCUUGAAAUGUGACACCAAUUCAAGUGGCUUAGGUGCAGAUAAAUACCAAGAAUAGAUGCAGAAAGGCAGGAAUAGGUACAGAGGCAAAAGGAAGUGUCUUUUUUUUCGACUGGCAACAGUAUCCUUUAUGUGGAAGAGAAGUUACUAUUCAGAGAAAGGCAGCUUAAACGGAUGAUGUUCUGUGUAUCAUUGAUAAGUUUCCUUGUGAUAUUGAAAAGUGUUUCUAAUUGUUAAUGCCCAGUUUGAGUUUGUACUUGCCUGAUGUUUUACUAUUGUUUUCUAGAUGGACUUGUAAAAACCAAACAGUGCUUUGUGAGGUUAGAGGUGUGUAUUUGGGGGCCUCAGGUGUGUGUGUGUGUGGUUUUGUUUUCCUCCAGAAGUUUUGAACUUUAGUCAAUAAUUGUGUGUGUUGUUUUUAAGAAGUGGCUUAUUUUUUCUCUAGUAGAAUUGUGAACACAUUUGCCUUCUAAUGGCAGGAUAUGAGCUAUGGAUUCUGAAAAGUAUUGUAGGUUGUACUAUGUGCCUUCUUAAUGUGUUUAUGGGCACAAUAUUUUCUCUCAUCAACUUGAAACUUAAAAGGGACAUUUUAGCUAAAUUAUAUACUGUACAUCAAUCUAUGCAUAAAUGGCAGCUUGUUUUCUUGAGCCACUAUCUGUUUUUUUUAUAUAUAAAUUUUUUAUAUUGAUUGGGUCAGAGAUGGUCAGUUUUAUACAGAAUGAACAGCACAGCACUUUGCCAAAAAAAAAAAAAAAAAAACAAAAAAAAAACCAUGUAGCAUUGCUUAAACAUUGUGUAUUAAUACCAGUUCUUUGUAAUAGGUUCAGUAGUGCACUCCGCACUGUCCAGAGUUACAGUUUUUUAAUCUGUCAGUAAAUAAAAUGUCCUUUAACUUAA